UACGGAGGGUGCAAGCGUUAUCCGGAUUCACUGGGUUUAAAGGGAGCGCAGGCGGAUUUGUAAGUCAGUGGUGAAAGGCUUAAGCUUAACUUGGGAACUGCCAUUGAUACUAUAAGUCUUGAAUGUUGUUGAGGUUUGCGGAAUGGGUCAUGUAGCGGUGAAAUGCGUAGAUAUGACCCGGAACACCUAUUGCGAAGGCAGCAGGCUAAACAAAUAUUGACGCUGAGGCUCGAAAGCGUGGGGAUCAAACAGG
rnacentral:rRNA from 1 species